AUUGAACGCUGGCGGCAUGCCUAACACAUGCAAGUCGAACGCGAGUAGGGGCAACCUUACUUGUGUGGCGGACGGGUGCGUAAUACGUAGGAAUCUUCCCUAGAGCGGGGGAUAACCCGGGGAAACUCGGGCUAAUACCGCAUAAUCUCUACGGAGCAAAGGGGGGUCGCAAGACCUUUCACUUUAGGAUGAGCCUACGUCGGAUUAGCUUGUUGGUGAGGUAAAGGCUUACCAAGGCGACGAUCCGUAGCUGGUCUGAGAGGACGACCAGCCACACUGGGACAGAGACACGGCCCAGACUCCUACGGGAGGCAGAAGUGGGGAAUAUUGGACAAUGGGGGCAACCCUGAUCCAGCAAUGCCGCGUGUGUGAAGAAGGCCUUCGGGUUGUAAAGCACUUUCAGUGGGGAAGAAAUGCUAACGGUUAAUACCUGUUAGCUAUGACGUUACCCAAAGAAGAAGCACCGGCUAACUCUGUGCCAGCCGCCGCCGUAA
rnacentral:rRNA from 1 species